rnacentral:rRNA from 1 species
CAGGCCUAACACAUGCAAGUCGAGCGAAGACUUCGGUCUUAGCGGCGGACGGGUGAGUAACGCGUGGGAACGUACCCAGCUCUGCGGAAUAGCCUCUGGAAACGGAGAUUAAUACCGCAUACGCCCUUCGGGGGAAAGAUUUUUCGGAGUUGGAUCGGCCCGCGUUAGAUUAGAUAGUUGGUGGGGUAAUGGCCUACCAAGUCUACGAUCUAUAGCUGGUUUGAGAGGAUGAUCAGCCACACUGGGACUGAGACACGGCCCAGACUCCUACGGGAGGCAGCAGUGGGGAAUCUUAGACAAUGGGGGAAACCCUGAUCUAGCCAUGCCGCGUGUGUGAUGAAGGCCCUAGGGUCGUAAAGCACUUUCGCUGGGGAAGAUAAUGACGGUACCCAGUAAAGAAACCCCGGCUAACUCCGUGCCAGCAGCCGCGGUAAUACGGAGGGGGUUAGCGUUGUUCGGAAUUACUGGGCGUAAAGCGCGCGUAGGCGGAUCAGCCAGUCAGAGGUGAAAUCCCAGGGCUCAACCCUGGAACUGCCUUUGAUACUGUUGGUCUAGAGUUCGAGAGAGGUGAGUGGAAUUCCGAGUGUAGAGGUGAAAUUCGUAGAUAUUCGGAGGAACACCAGUGGCGAAGGCGGCUCACUGGCUCGAU